GGCGUGCCUAACACAUGCAAGUCAGGGGGAACGGGGUAGCAAUAUCCCUAGUAUACCGGCGAACGGGUGAGUAACGCGUAGGCAACCUACCUUGUGAACGGGGAUAACUCCGGGAAACCGGGGCUARUACCCGAUGAAGUCCCGCUAUAGCAUUAUAGCGGGAUGAAAGGUCCCAAAAGGAUGUCACAAGAUGGGCCUGCGUCCCAUUAGAUAGUUGGCGGGAUAACAGCCCACCAAGUCUACGAUGGGUAGCUGGUCUGAGAGGACGAUCAGUCACACUGGAACUGAGACACGGUCCAGACUUCUACGGAAGGCAGCAGUGAGGAAUAUUGCUCAAUGGGCGAAAGCCUGAAGCAGCGACGCCGCGUGAAGGAUGAAAUUCUUUUAGAAUGUAAACUUCUUUUGCGGGGGAAGAAUGUCCCGAUUUCGAUCGGGAUUGACGGUACCCCGUGAAUAAGCACCGGCCAACUACGUGCCAGCAGCCGCGGUAAUACGUAGGGUGCAAGCGUUGUCCGGAAUUACUGGGUGUAAAGGGUCCGCAGGCGGGUAAGCAAGUCGGUGGUGAAAUCCUGCAGCUUAACUGCAGAAUUGCCUCCGAUACUGUUUAUCUUGAGUUCGAGAGAGGAUGAUAGAAUUCAUGGUGUAGCGGUGAAAUGCGUAGAUAUCAUGAAGAAUACCGGUUGCGAAGGCGGUCAUCUGGCUCGAUACUGACGCUCAGGGACGAAAGCGUGGGGAGCAAACAGGAUUAGAUACCCUGGUAGUCCACGCCUUAAACGAUGGAUGUUCGGUGUCGGUCCCGCUGAGUACUUGUUAUCAAGUACUCAGCGGGRUCGGUGCCUGAGCUAACGCGUUAAACAUCCCACCUGGGGAGU
rnacentral:rRNA from 1 species